rnacentral:rRNA from 1 species
UACGGAGGGCGCGAGCGUUGUCCGGAAUCACUGGGCGUAAAGGGCGCGUAGGCGGCCCUGGUAAGUCUGCGGUGAAAGCCCGGGGCUCAACCCCGGGUCGGCCGCGGGUACUGCCGGGCUGGAGUGCCGUAGGGGCAGGCGGAAUUCCGGGUGUAGCGGUGGAAUGCGUAGAGGAUCCGGAAGAACACCGGUGGCGAAGGCGGGUCUCUGGGCCGUAACUGACGCUGAGGAGCGAAAGCGUGGGGAGCGAACAGG